UCAAGCUGAAAAGAGCGCAAGGGGAAUGCCUUGGCAUCAGGAGCCGACGAAGGACGUGACAAGCUGCGAUAAGCCACGGGGAGGAGCAAAUAUCCGAUAUAUCCGUGGAUUUCCGAAUGGGGGAACCCGCUCAAGCAAUACUUGAGCAUCGUGCGUUGAAUCAAAUAGGCGUACGAAGGGAACGGCCUGAACUGAAACAUCUAAGUAGGGCCAGGAAAAGACAUCAACCGAGAUUCCGCUAGUAGUGGCGAGCGAACGCGGAGGAGGCCAAACCGAGGGACGCAAGUUCUUCGGGGUUGCGGACAGACAUCAUGACCAGAGGAAAUUAAGAGAACGGCGUGGGAAAGCCGGCCACAGAAGGUGAGAGCCCUGUAUCUGAAAAUGAAGACUGGCAGUCUGGAUCCAGAGUACCGCGGGACACGUGAAACCCCGUGGGAAACCGGGUGGACCACCAUCCAAGCCUAAAUACUACCUGAUGACCGAUAGAGGAGCAGUACCGUGAGGGAAAGGUGAAAAGGACCCCGGGAGGGGAGUGAAAGAGAACCUGAAACCUUGUGCUUACAAGCAGUCAAAGCACGUUAAAGUGUGAUGACGUACUUUUUGUAGAACGGUCCGGCGAGUUAUAGUAACGAGCAAGCUUAAGGUAUUGAGUACCGGAGGCGAAGCGAGAGCGAGUCUGAAUAGGGCGUAAAGUUCGUUGCCAUAGACCCGAAACCGGGUGACCUAUCCAUGAGCAGGCUGAAGUGAGAGUAAAAUCUCAUGGAGGGCCGAACCGACCCCCGUUGCAAUGGUGGCGGAUGACUUGUGGAUAGCGGAGAAAUUCCAAUCGAACUCGGAGAUAGCUGGUUCUCCCCGAAAUAGCUUUAGGGCUAGCGUUAUGUUAGAUUACCGGAGGUAAAGCACUGAAUGGUGGCGGGGCCGAUAAGGUUACCAAGACCUAUCAAACUCUGAAUGCCGGAUAAUUGAUGCAUAGCAGUCAGACAGCGUGAGAUAAGUUUCGUUGUCAAAAGGGAAACAGCCCAGACCCACAGCUAAGGUCCCAAAUUCAUGCUAAGUGGAAAACGAUGUGGAAUUGCGAAAACAACCAGGAUGUUGGCUUAGAAGCAGCCACUCAUUAAAAGAGUGCGUAAUAGCUCACUGGUCGAGUGACUCUGCGCGGAAAAUGUAACGGGGCUAAGUAUACAACCGAAGCUUGGGAUUGUCUAAAGACAGUGGUAGGGGAGCGUCGUGUAUGGGGUGAAGUCGCAUCGGAAGGAGCGGUGGACUGUACACGAGUGAGAAUGCCGGAAUGAGUAGCGAGAAUUAUGUGGGAAUCAUAAUGGCCGAAAAUCUAAGGUUUCUUGGGGAAGGUUCGUCCGCCCAAGGUAAGUCGGGAGCUAAGCUCAGGCCGAGAGGCGUAGGCGAUGCACAUACGGUAGAAAUUCCGUAACCACCGAAACUUAAACAGAGGGACACUUCGAAAUAGCGGAACCCGGGCGUUGGUUGACCCGGGCGAAAGGGAGCGAAAUUAGAGUAGCGAAGUCCGCGAUGUUCGGAGGCGAGAAAAGCUCUGAGGUAUGCUAAGGUGCCCGUACCGCAAACCGACACAGGUAGAUGAGGAGAGAAUCCUAAGGCCAACGGGAGAAGGGUUGUUAAGGAACUCGGCAAAUUGACCCCGUAACUUCGGAAGAAGGGGAGCCCCCUACGGGGGGUCGCAGAGAAAUGGCCCAAGCAACUGUUUACCAAAAACACAGGUCUAUGCUAAAUCGAAAGAUGACGUAUAUGGGCUGACGCCUGCCCGGUGCCGGAAGGUUAAGAGGAGAUGUCAGCGCAAGCGAAGCAUUGAAUUGAAGCCCCGGUAAACGGCGGCCGUAACUAUAACGGUCCUAAGGUAGCGAAAUUCCUUGUCAGGUAAGUUCUGACCCGCACGAAAGGCGUAAUGAUUUGGGCACUGUCUCAACAGCCCGCCCGGCGAAAUUGUAGUACUGGUGAAGAUGCCAGUUACCCGCAACUAGACGGAAAGACCCCAUGGAGCUUUACUG
rnacentral:rRNA from 1 species